rnacentral:rRNA from 1 species
AGAGUUUGAUCCUGGCUCAGGACGAACGCUGGCGGCGGGCUUAACACAUGCAAGUCGAACGAAGCCUUCGGGCUUAGUGGCGCACGGGUGCGUAACGCGUAGGCAACCUGCCCUCGGAUGGGGAAUAACUACUCGAAAGAGUAGCUAAUACCGCAUAUUGUCUCAUGACCGCAUGGUCGAGAGAUGAAAGCCUUCGGGUGUCUGAGGAUGGGCCUGCGUCGGAUUAGGUAGUUGGUGAGGUAACGGCUCACCAAGCCUGCGAUCCGUAGCUGGUCUGAGAGGAUGAUCAGCCACACUGGCACUGAGACACGGGCCAGACUCCUACGGGAGGCAGCAGUGAGGAAUAUUGCGCAAUGGGCGAAAGCCUGACGCAGCCACGCCGCGUGAAGGAUGACACCCCUUUGGGGCGUAAACUUCUUUUGUGUGAGAAGAAGGCCU